AUGGUGCAAAGUUUUAUACGUUUGGUCUUGCAGCAGUGUGCUGGGCAAUCUGAAAUUGCCGAAAUCGUGCAACCUUUGAGUUUAAAUAUCCUAGAUGACUAUUUGAAGUGGUGUUUUCCUCUUGUGUAUUUCUUAAAUAUUGGGCAGGACUACUGA
rnacentral:rRNA from 1 species